rnacentral:tRNA from 1 species
GGAGGAAUAGCGAAGUGGCUAAACGCGACGGACUGUAAAUCCGUUCCUUACAGUGGUUCGAAUCCACUUUCCUCCA